CAGAGUGUAGUAGGAAAAAAAAAAGCCAGGGAGAAGACUUAGCUGACAGGUAGAUGGGUGUUUCUUCUGUUGGACUGAUAUGUUAGAGAAACCUGAGCUAAGAGGAUACUGCGUUUGUACUGUGAAAUAAGAGCAAGAAAGAACUUCACAGGCAUUAGGCUGAUCCCUGGCAAGAAGCCUUGAGGAAGGAAGGCAUGGGACCUAAUUAGGGAGCUUAGGAAGCUGAGCGUGUCAGGGAAAGCUCCUGGAGGCAGGUAUACAGAUAGUGAAAGGGUGAGGGCUACAGGAAAUUGUGAUUCUCACUGCAGUGGAACUGAAAGGGGUUCAAUCUGCAGCAGAGAUGGGGAGGAAACAAGGGGUUUUCACCAGGGUGAGCCUGAGACAGGAUUGGUGAAGUACUAGGAGUUGAGCAAGGAUUUCUUUGAAUGGGCUAUACUGAAGGGUGAUAACUGCUGGUCUUAACUCUCAGGAGGAGGGGCUGAAUAGGUUGGAGCUUUAGGUCUUGUUUUAUGUCACACUGAGACUGGAGUACCCUGAAAGGGGUGUGGAAUUAAAUCGUGAUCUGGCCGAGUUGCAAGAAGACCUAGGCCAUCCGAGGGCUAGAGUGACUAUCAGCAGGAGGUGCUAUAGAAAGAGAGCUGCUACACCUAGCCAUGAGGAGGACGUGCCUGCGAGUGCAAACUCUGUGGGGAGUGGACUGCCCCUAACUACUUGUGUGUACCACACCUGGCACAGGGUGGCCCUGAUCUCGGGUGCGGUUUCUACAUGCUAAUCGAAUGCAGAAAAGGUACAACAUGGGCAGCUAACUUCCCCUGCAUGCUAACUCUGACCUGAAAGGGCAAGAGGUGGAGUUUGGUCUCCAUGGCCCAUUCAAAUCCCUGGGUGUACUUCAGCCAAUGAGAGAGGCUGCUACUGCCAGUUUUGAUUUGGAUGACUAUCUACGUGAAAUAGGAUUAAAAUCAGUUUGCAGUGGGUUUUGAUUGAUGCUGAGCGUUCACCAAUCUGUUUUGCAAUGGAUACCACAUCUGGACCAAUAGCAAGGAGGUGAAAGUCUCUCCAUAACAUUCCCUGAGACCAGCAGUCACCGCAGCCCCUUUAAAACAUUUAAUAAAAUAUUUGAAGUGAAGGCAACUUUUUUCCUCAUAAAGCCUGAAAGUCAGACCCUGCUCUUUGCAACAAUUACUAUGUCACAUCAGGAAAAAAAAACUAUGUACAUUAUAUCAUGUCUCAGUAUGAAGCCUCUUUUGCAUCUGAGCUCAAAUCUAUUUGAGGCUAAUAAAUGGGGAGGGAGGUGGAUUUACUUAUAAAGUCUGAGGGAUGUAAUAG